GAUGAACGCUAGCGGCAGGCUUAAUACAUGCAAGUCGAGGGGUAGCAGGUCUGUAGCAAUACAGAUGCUGACGACCGGCAAACGGGUGCGGAACACGUACAGAACCUUCCUUCGAGUGGGAGAUAGCCCAGGGAAACUUGGAGUAAUAUCCCAUAGGAUCAUAGAGUGGCAUCACUUAGUGAUUAAAGAUUUAUCGCUUGAAGAUGGCUGCGCGGCUGAUUAGGUAGUUGGUGUAGGUAACGGCUCACCAAGCCUUCGAUCAGUAACUGGUGUGAGAGCACGACAAGUCACACGGGCACUGAGACACGGGCCCGACUCCUACGGGAGGCAGCAGUAAGGAAUAUUGGGCAAUGGAGGCAACUCUGACCCAGCCAUGCCGCGUGGAGGAUGAAGGUCCUCUGGAUUGUAAACUUCUUUUAUUUGGGAAGGAAUGCCGAUUUUCUAAUUGGUUUGGCGGUACCAGAUGAAUAAGCACCGGCUAACUCCGUGCCAGCCGCCGCUGUAACAC
rnacentral:rRNA from 1 species